rnacentral:rRNA from 1 species
GGAGGGUGCAAGCGUUAAUCGGAAUAACUGGGCGUAAAGCGCACGCAGGCGGUUAGAUAAGUCAGAUGUGAAAUCCCCGGGCUCAACCUGGGAACUGCAUUUGAAACUGUCUGACUAGAGUCUUGUAGAGGGGGGUAGAAUUCCAGGUGUAGCGGCGAAAUGCGUAGAGAUCUGGAGGAAUACCGGUGGCGAAGGCGGCCCCCUGGACAAAGACUGACGCUCAGGUGCGAAAGCGUGGGGAGCAAACAGGAUUAGAUACCCUGGUAGUCCACGCUGUAAACGAUGUCGAUUUGGAGUUUGUGCCAUUAUGAGCGUGGGUUCCGAAGCUAACGCGAUAAAUCGACCGCCUGGGGAGUACGGCCGCAAGGUUA